rnacentral:rRNA from 1 species
UACGUAGGGUGCGAGCGUUGUCCGGAAUUAUUGGGCGUAAAGAGCUCGUAGGCGGCCUGUCGCGUCGGAUGUGAAAGCCCGGGGCUUAACCCCGGGUCUGCAUUCGAUACGGGCAGGCUAGAGUGUGGUAGGGGAGAUCGGAAUUCCUGGUGUAGCGGUGAAAUGCGCAGAUAUCAGGAGGAACACCGGUGGCGAAGGCGGAUCUCUGGGCAUUACCUGACGCUGAGGAGCGAAAGCAUGGGGAGCGAACAGG